UACAGAGGGUGCGAGCGUUAAUCGGAAUUACUGGGCGUAAAGCGCGCGUAGGCGGCUUUGCAAGUCGGGUGUGAAAUCCCCAGGCUUAACCUGGGAACUGCAUUCGAGACUGCAUUGCUAGAGUAUGGGAGAGGGAAGUGGAAUUUCAGGUGUAGCGGUGAAAUGCGUAGAUAUCUGGAGGAACACCGGUGGCGAAGGCGGCGUCCUGGACCAACACUGACACUGAGGAGCGAAAGCCAGGGGAGCAAACGGG
rnacentral:rRNA from 1 species